rnacentral:rRNA from 1 species
UGAGGAAUAUUGGUCAAUGGGCGAGAGCCUGAACCAGCCAAGUCGCGUGAAGGAUGACUGUCUUAUGGAUUGUAAACUUCUUUUAUACGGGAAUAACAAGAGCCACGAGUGACUCCCUGCAUGCACCGUAUGAAUAAGCAUCGGCUAACUCCGUGCCAGCAGCCGCGGUAAUACGGAGGAUGCGAGCGUUAUCCGGAUUUAUUGGGUUUAAAGGGUGCGUAGGCGGCCUGUUAAGUCAGCGGUGAAAUCUAGGAGCUUAACUCCUAAAUUGCCAUUGAUACUGGCGGGCUUGAGUGUAGAUGAGGUAGGCGGAAUGCGUGGUGUAGCGGUGGAAUGCAUAGAUAUCACGCAGAACUCCGAUUGCGAAGGCAGCUUACUAAGGUACAACUGACGCUGAAGCACGAAAGCGUGGGUAUCAAACAGGAUUAGAUACCCUGGUAGUCCACGCAGUAAACGAUGAUAACUGGGCGUAUGCGAUAUACAGUAUGCUCCUAAGCGAAAGCGUUAAGUUAUCCACCUGGGGAGUACGCCGGCNACGGUG